rnacentral:precursor_RNA from 1 species
AUGAGUAGUAAGAUAAUUGUAGCCUUCGGUUCACGUGGUCAAGUGUUUGAUUAUAUUCGUGAACGUGGACAGCUACGUGAGUUUCACUAUGUUG